rnacentral:rRNA from 1 species
AAUGGGCGAAAGCCUGAUCCAGCCAUGCCGCGUGAGUGAAGAAGGCCUUCGGGUUGUAAAGCUCUUUUGUCCGGGAGGAAAUCCUGGCCUCUAAUACAGGUCGGGGAUGACAGUACUGGAAGAAUAAGCACCGGCUAACUACGUGCCAGCAGCCGCGGUAAUACGUAGGGUGCAAGCGUUAAUCGGAAUUACUGGGCGUAAAGCGUGCGCAGGCGGUUUUGUAAGCCAGAUGUGAAAUCCCCGAGCUUAACUUGGGAACUGCGUUUGGAACUACAAGACUAGAGUGUGUCAGAGGGGGGUAGAAUUCCACGUGUAGCAGUGAAAUGCGUAGAGAUGUGGAGGAAUACCGAUGGCGAAGGCAGCCCCCUGGGAUAACACUGACGCUCAUGCACGAAAGCGUGGGGAGCAAA